ACUGCCUGGAGAGCUCCGCCGGCGUAUUAAGAGCCGGGCCCUUCACAUCUAAUCCUCUUCCCGCUGCCCUCCUGGAAAAGACGCCCUGAAAUUUCAUGCUAAUUACGUAACAUAUGUUAAGUCCCAGUAAACAUUUUACUAAAUCUGAACGAUGGAUUGCCACCGGCGGAGAGCAUUUCACGUCCUAGAGCUGAUGCGACAACGCACACGUCCUUGGCACAAAGCACAUGCUCUAUAAAUGUGGGUUAUGAAGGGCCACGGGGCCUUAGGGGACGCGACUAGAUCUAUAAUAUACAUAUGUCGUCGUGAUUACUCAAUUGGGAGUCAGGCUAACAAGGCUGAGAGAGCUGUGGGUGACAUGCCUAGUGAAGAACUGGGGCAUCUACACGCGGAGCCAGUAAACCCUUCGAACCCACCGUUCCGUUAUUCUCGUAUUUGUUAUCCUGUGUUAUCUGGGCAAUUGCUUCACCUCUCCGCAUUGUGUACGAGACACGGCCAGGAAAUGAUGCAAUUACCAAAGGAGUCAAGAAACCUUCCAGCUCAGCCUCAAUUCAGAAACCCCCAUGAAAUAGGAGCAGAAGGCCAUAGGAUGUAACUCAGCUUUGAAAGUACCAACCAUUACAGCUGAACAAAUGUGACCCAAGAGACUCCGAUCCGCUGCAAGAUGGAGGGAGGGUUAAGUAAAAUACAUAUAAAUUUGUAAUGACCUUGCUUACAACAUCCGGCGCCACUGUGAGUUACAGCCAUCAUCCAUCACCACAGAAUUCAGAUGGGGCACACACCUCUUUCCUGUAUCAAGGAAUCUUUAGGAAGUCGAGUUCAGUAGAGGGAGCUCUUACCUCUCGUUUGGGGAUUGCCAGAGCUCAGCAUUAGAGAAUUCGGUUUUGAAUAAAAAGACCUACAGAAUAUUGGAAAUAUAGGACAAUGAAGACACAUACGUACCCUUCGUCUACACCUGUGCUGUCCAACUUAGCAGCACCAGCAACAUGCGGCUAUUGUGCAUUGAAAUGUGGCUAGUACGAAUUUAGAUCCUCUAGAAGCGUUAAAUGCAUACUGAAUUUUUAAGUCUUAGUAUGAAAAAUAAAAGAAUGUAAAGUAUCUGUAAUAAUUUUUACAUUGAUUACAUUUUAAGUGAUAAUUGAAUAUAUUGGGCUAAAAUGUUAAAAUCCAUUUCACUUUAUUUUUACUUUUUUAGUAUACUUACUAGAAUAUUUAAAAUUAUAUCUGUGGCUUGCAUUAUAUUUCUAUUUUACAGUACUGAUCUAGAUUCACCAGUUGUUAAUAUUUUGCCAUAUUUCCUUUCUCUUGAGUUAGUUUUUCUGAACCAUUUGAGAUUAGUUGCAGACUUAAUGAUACUUUACUUCUAGAUACUUUAUCACAUAUUUCCUAAGAACAAGCGAUACAAUUAUCACAUAUUUCCUAAGAACAAGCGAUAUAAUUAUCACACUUAGGAAAUUUAAAUUUAAUACAAUAUUUUUUAUUAUACAGUCAAUAAUUAAAUUUUCCAGUUUCCUAAUAACACCUUUUAUGCUUUUUCUUUUUAUCCAGGAUCCACUCAAGGAUUAUACAUUGCAUUUAGGGGUCAUGUUUCUGUAGUCUCCAUCUUUUAAUCUUUUUUUUUUACAACAUUGAUUUUUUUGAAUGGUGGAGGACAGUUGUUUCAGAAAAACUCUCAAUUUAGUUAAAUAUGUAUAUUUUUUCUUUAAAG